rnacentral:miRNA from 1 species
AACGCGAAAUGCUAGCUGUAAUC